ACGAACGCUGGCGGCGUGCUUAACACAUGCAAGUCGAACGGUGAAGGGGUCUGCUUUUGUGGGCCCUGGAUGAGUGGCGAACGGGUGAGUAACACGUGAGUAACCUGCCCCCUUCUUCUGGAUAACCGCAUGAAAGUGUGGCUAAUACGGGAUAUUCUGGGUCUGUCGCAUGAUGGGUCUGGGAAAGAUUGCGCCUUUGGGUGUUUUUGGUGGGGGAUGGGCUCGCGGCCUAUCAGCUUGUUGGUGGGGUGAUGGCCUACCAAGGCGGUGACGGGUAGCCGGCCUGAGAGGGUGGACGGUCACACUGGGACUGAGACACGGCCCAGACUCCUACGGGAGGCAGCAGUGGGGAAUAUUGCACAAUGGGCGCAAGCCUGAUGCAGCGACGCCGCGUGAGGGAUGGAGGCCUUCGGGUUGUAAACCUCUUUCGCCAGUGAAGCAGGCCUGCUCCGUGUGGGUGGGUUGACGGUAGCUGGAUAAGAAGCGCCGGCUAACUACGUG
rnacentral:rRNA from 1 species